rnacentral:lncRNA from 1 species
AAAUAACGCUCGCAUGCCUGUGCACUUCUCCAUCACCACCACUGGGUCUUCAGACCAUUAGCUUUAUCUACUCCAGAGCGCAGAAGAACCCGAUCGACACCAUGAGGGUGUUGCUCGUUGCCCUCGCUCUCCUGGCUCUCGCUGCGAGCGCCACCUCCACGCAUACAAGCGGCGGCUGCGGCUGCCAGCCACCGCCGCCGGUUCAUCUACCGCCGCCGGUGCAUCUGCCACCUCCGGUUCACCUGCCACCUCCGGUGCAUCUCCCACCGCCGGUCCACCUGCCGCCGCCGGUCCACCUGCCACCGCCGGUCCAUGUGCCGCCGCCGGUUCAUCUGCCGCCGCCACCAUGCCACUACCCUACUCAACCGCCCCGGCCUCAGCCUCAUCCCCAGCCACACCCAUGCCCGUGCCAACAGCCGCAUCCAAGCCCGUGCCAGCUGCAGGGAACCUGCGGCGUUGGCAGCACCCCGAUCCUGGGCCAGUGCGUCGAGUUCCUGAGGCAUCAGUGCAGCCCGACGGCGACGCCCUACUGCUCGCCUCAGUGCCAGUCGUUGCGGCAGCAGUGUUGCCAGCAGCUCAGGCAGGUGGAGCCGCAGCACCGGUACCAGGCGAUCUUCGGCUUGGUCCUCCAGUCCAUCCUGCAGCAGCAGCCGCAAAGCGGCCAGGUCGCGGGGCUGUUGGCGGCGCAGAUAGCGCAGCAACUGACGGCGAUGUGCGGCCUGCAGCAGCCGACUCCAUGCCCCUACGCUGCUGCCGGCGGUGUCCCCCACUGAAGAAACUAUGUGCUGUAGUAUAGCCGCUGGCUAGCUAGCUAGUUGAGUCAUUUAGCGGCGAUGAUUGAGUAAUAAUGUGUCACGCAUCACCAUGGGUGGCAGUGUCAGUGUGAGCAAUGACCUGAAUGAACAAUUGAAAUGAAAAGAAAAAAAGUACUCCAUCUGUUCCAAAUUAAAAUUGGUUUUAACCUUUUAAUAGGUUUAUACAAUAAUUGAUAUAUGUUUUCUGUAUAUGUCUAAUUUGUUAUCAUCCAUUUAGAUAUAGAC